UACGUAGGUGGCAAGCGUUGUCCGGAUUUAUUGAGUUUAAAGGGUGCGUAGGUGGCCCUGUAAGUCAGUGGUGAAAUAUCUCAGCUUAACUGAGAGGGUGCCAUUGAUACUGCAGGGCUUGAGUACAGAUGAGGUAGGCGGAAUUGACGGUGUAGCGGUGAAAUGCAUAGAUAUCGUCAAGAACACCGAUAGCGAAGGCAGCUUACCAAGCUGUAACUGACACUGAGGCACGAAAGUGUGGGGAUCAAACAGG
rnacentral:rRNA from 1 species